GGGUGUUUGAACGGAAUGUGUCCCUUCGUCUACAAAACUCUGCACGCUGCGGCAUCGAAGUCCUGUGUACGGGUGCACGUAUGCGCUUGGAUACGGGAUAGCCUGCCCUCAACGGGUGUUCAACAGUGUACGCACGCUGCGCGUACGCGUACGUAUGAGACUAGUUGCUGGUGUCCUACUGGAGUUGAGAAGAGAUCUGCUGCCUGCCAUGAGGCCAUGUCUCUCAAGUUACCGCAAUAUUGUUGCCUUCAAACCUGUCGAGACAAGGUUUCUUUACAUGGCCAUGGCGCUCAAGGAAGAAACCGAGACUGUAGACUGCCAACGUUCAUUCCUGUUCCGGCAAAGACGGGCCAGCAGUAACCAGCAGGAUUUUACAAAGUGAACUCAUCACAGCUUGAGCCACUCCAUGCCACAAGCAGUUGCUCCUCGAGCCACCGUGCAAAGGUUCCUUGGGGCACAAGUCCAACUCAGCGCCACAACCUUUCUUCUGCAGUUUUUCUACCUACUUAGCUAACCAGGUGGGUCAAAGAUGGCAGAGGGAAAGGGAAUCACAGCUUUAAGCAUAGAACCUGC